UGGGGAAUUUUACACAAUGGGCGAAAGCCUGAUGUAGCAACGCCGCGUGGAGGAUGAAGGAUUUAGGUUCGUAAACUCCUUUUAUAAGGGAAGAAAUUUGACUGUACCUUAUGAAUAAGCACCGGCUAACUCCGUGCCAGCAGCCGCGGUAAUACGGGGGGUGCAAGCGUUACUCGGAAUCACUGGGCGUAAAGGGAGCGUAGGCGUCUUGUUAAGUCUUGAGUGAAAGCCCGCAGCUCAACUGCGGAACUGCUUGGGAAACUGACAAGAUUGAGUAUGGAAGAGGUAGGUGGAAUUUCCAGUGUAGGGGUAAAAUCCGUAGAUAUUGGAAGGAAUACCAGAAGCGAAGGCGACCUACUGGGACAUUACUGACGCUGAGGCUCGAAAGCGUGGGGAGCAAACAGG
rnacentral:rRNA from 1 species